UAGUUUAUUAUAAAUCUAGUUUUAGGUUAGAUUUCAUGUCAAAUACUAGUUUAAUCCCCAUAUUUUGUGUAGGAAAGCAUUGGUUCCUUGAUGCUUGAAGCAACGGAGUUACAAAAGUAAAGAUUUCCUGAAGCUUGAAGCUUGCUUGAAGUAAAGGAAUUACAUGAUGGAUAUUGCUUACUGCUCCAAGAUUGCUUCAAGCAAUCAUUUUACAGUAAGAUGUUCUUUUUCUCUGGAGAAUGCUUGAAGUUUGCUUGAAGCAGAAAAGGAAGGAAAUAAGGCGGUGGAGAAUUCUUUCCCACGAAGAAAGCUUUCCUGAAGAUGCUUGAAGCAACCUUGGAGCAAUCUUGACAGCAAAACUCUAUAAAAGGACCAAACACACACUUUGAACGGGAAUUGGCCAUUUUGCUUCAUUUCUAGACACACCCAAAUAGAGAGAACAAGGGAGAAAGCUUAGGAGGCUGAAGCGGAAGCUUGGGUGCCGGAUUCGACGGCGAGACAUCGCGGAGUCUUCGGUUCUUCUUUCUUCUUCUUCUUCAUGAUUUUAAAGCUAUCCAUAAAAAUGGAUAGCUAAUCUCCCUUUGUUGGGAUUAGUUGUAGCCUUUUGGCCUUUAUGCCCUCACUUUGAUCUAUAUAUAUGAAUCUUUGUUUCUAUGAAUGGUUUCAAUGAUGUUACUUUGUUCUUAAUGCUUGUUUUGGCUUGAUCACCUAAGACAUGAAAAUGGAUUUGAUAAGUUUAGUGAGAACUAGCUAAUUGAAUCUGAUCUAGGUAAAUAUCAUCUAAUGAAUCUAAAAUCUAGAGAUAGGAUUGGAUCAUUAGUCAAACUAACAUCUAUGCUUAAUGCUUCUUGCUUUGUUAAUCAAUCAAGAGAUUGAGGGUUAAUUUAGUAAGACGAUAAUCUUCGCAUAGGGAGACCGUGUAGUAAGAUAAGAUAUGGUGUGAUGGAACCAAUCAUAGGACAAGAUUUAUGUAUGAAGCCUUAGAGUGCGUAAAGUCAAUCGGUGAAUUCCAAUUCCAACAAUCGUCUCCUCUUGAUCUCAAACCUCUUUUAUAUCGUUUUGUUAAGGCUUUUCACUUAUUUUCAUGUUCAAACAACAAUCAAUCUCUUUUUAAAACCAUUGUUUGAGUUUGUUAACUAUUGAACGGCGUAAGUAUUACACCUCCCUGUGGAUACGACAAAACCCUUUACUAUACUACAAUUGAGUCUUGAGAGAUUCAAACGUAGAGUGGUAAAAAAUCUUUCAACAAAAUGGCGCCGUUGCCGGGGAGGUGUGCCAAUACUAAUUGCAUUGCAAUAGUUUUCAUUCUUGAAUGAUUGUGAAUAUAGUGUAUAGUUCUUGUUUUCAGUUUGACUUUCCUUGUUGUUACUAAUCUCUUGUGUUAGUUAGCUAGUUCAAGAGGAGAAGCAACAAGAAGCUUCUGAAUCACCACUUUCACAAAAUGUUUCAAUCAUCUCAGACAUACUACCCCACUGAAGAGGAUAAGAUUUCUAAGCUCGAGGAUACCUUGGUGCAAUUCAUGAAAUUGUCAAUGAUUCAUCAAAGAAAUACCGAUGCUUCUAUCAAGAACUUGGAGAAUCAAUUGGGGAAGCUAGCUAAUAUGGUAGCUGAACGUGAAAGAGAUAUGGUUGAAGCACAAGGGGAAGUCUAAGAAAGUGAGGAGGAAGAAGAAAAAUCAAAAAAAGAAGAAAGAGAUCCAACUCUUCACCAUUUACUGAUUCCUCCAAGCCCUCCAAAGGUAAAACAUGAAGAGGGUGAGUGUUCUUGUGGUAAUCUAGUGUGCUUAUGCCUACGUUUCAUAUAUUGUUGGCCUGAGGACAGUCCAAAACUCUUGGAGGGGGUGAGAGAUCAAGAAUCUGAGGCAAAAACCCCAGAUUUGACUGGAAUUGAACAUCAUACAUCAUGAGGGAGUAGUCUUUAUCUUGUUUUAGUUUCUUUUAGUGUAUAUAGCACUUUUGUCCUAGAUUAUAUGAUUAAUUGAUUGUUUUCAGUACUAGCAUGGCUAUCAUAAGAAUUGCUUGAUGUUUUUUCUCUGAAAAUGAAUUGAAUUGAUUGAAUCCAUGACUGAGAUUGUGUUUGCACUCAUUAUGCUAUGACUUGAUAUGAUUGCAUGAUCCACAUGGUACUCAUAGGCCUAACAUGAAAGUUGCUUAAAAAUCAGGAAAAUUUUAAACUUUUUAGCCUGUGAGGGAGUGUUUCUAUACACUAUGAGUUGAGAGAUCAUCAGUGAAUUACAUGGUUGAUUUUGUUUGAGUCUCUUGUGAUCGUUGGUUCAUGGAAUUGAUAAGAAAUGAUCAAGGCAUGUUUUGUUCUGUAUAUAUAUAUAUACAACUACUUAGCCAAAUAACCGACCUUUUUCAAGUCAAUUCCAUAGUUACCCCAUUUGAGCCUAAAAUUGAAAAAUCAUGUAUUUUGUUCUUUCUUAUAACCCUUAAGCCUCAAAUAAAAACAAUGACUUUCCUAAGCUUGAUAGGCUAAGAGAGCAUCAUUAGUGUGGGUUGUAUGCAAGUUGAGGGGAAAAGCUAUUAUGGUUUGUGUAAUUUAUAUCAAUCUCUUUGUAUAUACUUUGAAAAAGUGAAAAGAGUAAAAUUCAAAGGCGAAAAAGAAAAAAAAAAAAGAAAAAGAAAAAAAAAGAAUAAAAGAGAGAUUGAUGGAAGAAAAGGGUUGAGUUGAAUUGAAAAUGGUGAAUGGAGUUGGUUAAAAGCAAGAAUGGGAGUGAAUAUCAUGAAAGUAAGUUGUGAUUGCUCUCUUAGGCUUGUUGAGUUACUUUGCAUAUCUGAAAAACCAAGUUCUUUGAAGCCUAGCCUCAUUACAACCUAGAAAAGUCCUUAGUGAUCUUUAAUUGAACAUGCAACUUUGAUGUUUGUGGAGACAGGUAACAACUUUGACUUCUGUGAUUCAAUGAUGAAAAGAAUUAAACACUUACCUUUCUUGAUUCUAUUGAUAUAUCUAAGGUUGUUGAGUGAGUCCCUGGUUGAUAAGUGAUUGAAUGGAAUGCUUAUUGAGUUUCAUGUUGGAUAAGCAAUUGUAUCUUUGUUGUGCAUUCUAUUGUGGGCAUCAUAUUUAUGUUUUUGGAUCACUCAUUCAAUUUUUGUGAAAUCUUGCAGUUGAAACUUUGAAAAAUAUUCAAAUCAUGCUUGUCUGAAAACAGUUUUGACCUUUUGUUUGAGGACAAACAAAGUGCUAAGUUGGGGGGAGUUGAUAAGUGCCAAUUUUACGUACUUUUCACUCUUAUUUUGAGCACUUAUAUGACGUGUGUGCUUCAUUUAUAUAUCAUUUAACCUUCAUUUUAGUAGUUUAUUAUAAAUCUAGUUUUAGGUUAGAUUUCAUGUCAAAUACUAGUUUAAUCCCCAUAUUUUGUGUAGGAAAGCAUUGGUUCCUUGAUGCUUGAAGCAACGGAGUUACAGAAGUAAAGAUUUCCUGAAGCUUGAAGCUUGCUUGAAGCAAAGGAAUUACAGGAUGGAUAUUGCUUACUGCUCCAAGAUUGCUUCAAGCAAUCAUUUUACAGUAAGAUGUUCUUUUUCUCUGGAGAAUGCUUGAAGUUUGCUUGAAGUAGAAAAGGAAGGAAAUAAGGCGGUGGAGAAUUCUUUCCCACGAAGAAAGCUUUCCUGAAGAUGCUUGAAGCAACCUUGGAGCAAUCUUGACAGCAAAACUCUAUAAAAGGACCAAACACACACUUUGAACGGGAGUUGGCCAUUUUGCUUCAUUUCUAGACACACCCAAAUAGAGAUAACAAGGGAGAAAGCUUAGGAGGCUGAAGCGGAAGCUUGGGUGCCGGAUUCGACGGCGAGACAUCGCGGAGUCUUCGGUUCUUCAUGAUUUUAAAGCUAUCCAUGAAAAUGGAUAGCUAAUCUCCCUUUGUUGGGAUUAGUUGUAGCCUUUUGGCCUUUAUGCCCUCACUUUGAUCUAUAUAUAUGAAUCUUUGUUUCUAUGAAUGGUUUCAAUGAUGUUACUUUGUUCUUAAUGCUUGUUUUGGCUUGAUCACCUAAGACAUGAAAAUGGA